AUGUAUAAAUGUACUGCCCAAAUAUGUGUUACGCCCUCUUUUUCCGAAACCUCCCUAAGAGUGGACGAUGAGAGCCGUGCUGCACGUUUGCCAGGACUACUAGAAUCUACCUACGUCAUUUCAAUGUAUAAAUGUACUGCCCAAAUAUGUGUUACGCCCUCUUUUUCCGAAACCUCCCUAAGAGUGGACGAUGAGAGCCGUGCUGCACGUUUGCCAGAUAUCACUAUGCUAGAUUAAAAGGCCUCAAAUAUACCGUAUCCGCCUUGUCCAGAGUCUCAUCUUGGUCUUGUCUCUCCUAUAACUAAUCAUUGACACACCCCUUGACUUUUUCCACAUUUUGUUGUGUUACAGCCUGAAUUUAACAUGGAUUAAAUUGAGAUUGUUUUGUUACUGGCCUACACACAAUACCAUAUAAUGUAAAAGUGGAGUUAUGCUUUUCAAAAUGUUUACAAAUUAAUAAAAAAUGAAAAGCUGAAAAUUUGUCUUGGAACAAUAAGUAUUCAACCCAUUUGUUACGGCAAGCCUAAAUAAGUUCAGGAGUAAAAAUGAUCUUACAAGUCACAUAAUAAGAUGCAUGGACUAACUCUGUGUUCAAUAAUAGUGUUUAACAUUAUUUUUGAAUGACUACCUCCUCUCUGUACCCCACACAUACAAUUAUCUGUAAAGUCCCUCAGUCAAGCAGUGAAUUUCAAACACAGAUUCAACCACAAAGACCAGAGAGGUUUUCCAAUGCCUCGUAAAGGGCACUUAUUGGUAGAUGGGUAAAAAUAAAAAAGAUGACAUUGAAUAUCCCUUUGAGAAUGGGGAAGUUAUUAAUUACUCUUUGGAUGGUGUAUCAAUACACCCAUUCACUACAAAGAUACAGGCGUCCUUCCUAACUCAGCUGCACGAGAGGAAGGAAACCAACAUGAGGCCAAUGGUGACUUUAAAACAGUGAAUGCUCCUGAGUUGCCGAGUUACAGUUUUGACUUAAACCUACUUGAAAAUCUAUGGCAAUACCUUAAAAUGGUUGUCUAGCAAUGAUCAACAACCAAUUUGAAAGAGCUUGAAGAAUUUUGAAAAUAAUCAUGUGCAAAUGUUGCACAAUCCUGGUGUGGAAAGCUCUUAGAGAACUGCCCAGAAAGACUGACAGCUGUAACCACUGCCAAAGGUACUUCUGUAUUUGCGAUCAUUUCUAAAACCCAUGUUUUCACUUUGUCAUUAUGGGGUAUUGUGUAUAGACAAAAAAUAGAUUAAAUCCAUUUUUGAAUUCAGGCCGUAACACAACAAAAUGUGGAAUAAGUCAUGGGGUAUGAAUACUUUCUGAAGGGGCUGUAUACUGUCUGGUUCAACAGUAAUGUGCUGUCUUUUUUAUUCUGGCCUUGCAAAGUAGCCUAUCGAAUAAAGGUGUUUAAAUGGUCUAUUCGUCAUAGUGCCUUGAAUUGAAAAUAUAUUGCACAUCCUAAAACAUACACACACAUAUGCCUACCUGCACACCUUCAUUUCACUUGUUCAAGUAUCCAUCCCCAUCUCCAAAGAGCGCAUCUCAUCCGGUUACCAAAGCUGCGCACCUCCAAACGUAUUUAAAUUAUUCAGUUCUAUAAUAUAGUAUCAAUGGUAGGCCUAGGCUAUAUUUUGCUUAUUGCUAAUGUGCAUCACACAUAUAAUAGUGUUUUUUUUUUAGGAGAAGUGCAAUGCGUAAAGACAUGUAGGCUAGGCUCGUUGAAGCCAAUUACAACAAUGUUGACUGCUAACACUCCAAGCAUAGGCUAUUGCGCAAACACUUGAUGUUGUUUUACUGUUGCUAUCGCACAUUACUGUGUCCUACGCUAUUUAAUAAACUGUAUUAGGCUAUUAAUACCAGGAUGAGAAUAUUCUGUGCCCUCAGCCAAAUUGGAGUUGAUGACAAUGCAAAGACCUUUAAUAUCCUUCAGAACUUGAGACACAUGCAUGCAGUAUUAAGUCAUGGAACGUGUUCAUUGGCCAAGACCUCCUUAAACUUGUGUAUUCAUUAAAACCCAGCCUUUUCGCGCCACCACCAGCUAUUGCGCUCAUUAUUCUAGCAGUGAAAAUAGCUAAAAGAUUUCAGACACAUCCCUGGACCUUUGCACUAUGGCCAGUGCGUGGAUAUACCAUUGCAUCAGGUGUGGGAGUGAAA
rnacentral:lncRNA from 13 species